CCGAGGUAAGUGGACAGUAAAGGAUUUUAUUACUGAUAAAAGAAUUUGUUAUAAAUUAUGCUACUGUUUCUAUUGCUACUAUUGUUACUAUUUUUACUACUGCUACUACCGCUACUAUCACUGCUACUACUACUGCUGCUAAUAUUGCUACUGCUACUACUGCUAAUACUACUACCACUACUAAUGUAUUAUAUGUAACAUCAUAAAAAAUCUAGUUUAU
rnacentral:lncRNA from 1 species